CAUCUUUUUAUUUUUAAAAGACCUUUUUCGGAAGGUAUGCUUAAAGAGGGGCUUGCGUCACAUUAGUUAGUUGGCAGGGUAAAGGCCUACCAAGACUAUGAUGUGUAGCUGGACUGAGAGGUUGAACAGCCACAUUGGGACUGAGACACGGCCCAAACUCCUACGGGAGGCAGCAGUAGGGAAUUUUCGGCAAUGGAGGAAACUCUGACCGAGCAACGCCGCGUGAACGAUGAAGUAUUUCGGUAUGUAAAGUUCUUUUAUUGAAGAAGAAAAAAUAGUGGAAAAACUAUCUUGACGAUAUUCAAUGAAUAAGCCCCGGCAAACUAUGUGCCAGCAGCCGCGGUAAUACAUAGGGGGCGAGCGUUAUCCGGAAUUAUUGGGCGUAAAGGGUGCGUAGGCGGUUUAAUAAGUCUAUAGUUUAAUUUCAGUGCUUAACACUGUCCUGCUAUAGAAACUAUUAGACUAGAGUGAGAUAGAGGCAAGUGGAAUUCCAUGUGUAGCGGUAAAAUGCGUAAAUAUAUGGAGGAACACCAGAGGCGUAGGCGGCUUGCUGGGUCUUUACUGACGCUGAGGCACGAAAGCGUGGGGAGCAAACAGGAUUAGAUACCCUGGUAGUCCACGCCGUAAACGAUGAGUACUAAGUGUCGGGAUUACUCGGUACUGAAGUUAACACAUUAAGUACUCCGCCUGAGUAGUACGUACGCAAGUAUGAAACUUAAAGGAAUUGACGGGACUCCGCACAAGCGGUGGAUCAUGUUGUUUAAUUCGAAGAUACACGAAAAACCUUACCAGGUCUUGACAUACUCUGCAAAGCUAUAGCAAUAUAGUGGAGGUUAUCAGAGAUACAGGUGGUGCAUGGUUGUCGUCAGCUCGUGUCGUGAGAUGUUAGGUUAAGUCCUAAAACGAGCGCAACCCUUGUCAUUAGUUGCCAGCAUGUCAUGAUGGGCACUUUAAUGAGACUGCCAAUGAAAAAUUGGAGGAAGGUGAGGAUCACGUCAAAUCAUCAUGCCCCUUAUGAUCUGGGCUACAAACGUGAUACAAUGGCUGUUACAAAGAGUAGCUGAAACGCAAGUUUAUAGCCAAUCUCAUAAAAGCAGUCUCAGUUCGGAUUGAAGUCUGCAACUCGACUUCAUGAAGUUGGAAUCGCUAGUAAUCGCGAAUCAGCAUGUCGCGG
rnacentral:rRNA from 1 species